rnacentral:rRNA from 1 species
UACGUAGGGUGCGAGCGUUAAUCGGAAUUACUGGGCGUAAGGCGCGCGUAGGUGGUUUGUUAAGUUGGAUGUGAAAUCCCCGGGCUCAACCUGGGAACUGCAUUCAAAACUGACUGACUAGAGUAUGGUAGAGGGUGGUGGAAUUUCCUGUGUAGCGGUGAAAUGCGUAGAUAUAGGAAGGAACACCAGUGGCGAAGGCGACC